UGUGUGUGUGUGUAGGCAUAUGUGGUUUAUGAGACCAAUUUUCAGGUUUACAUACCAGCAUUACAAGACCAUUCGGUUUAUGAGACCAUUUUGUGUGGUCUCGUAAUUCUGGAAAUUUGAAUUGUUAUAAUUAAUGACUAAUAAUAAUUCUAAAAACUAUUAAUGCUUGUAUGUUUACUAUAUUAAUACUUUUAUUAAGUAUUGUCGCUAUUUUACUGUUAUGACACUCCCUACCUUUUUUAUGACGUUUAUAAACAUGGUCCUCUUAAACCAUGAUGUGUAUGUGUGAACUCGGAACAGUGCCCCUGUAGGUGGGAAUUGGUAUUGCGUGGUAUACACAUUGGCGCCAUAUUACACACAUAUUCGCGGCAAAUUACACACAUAUUCGCGCCAAGUGCCAUUGACGGAACAGUCAAGAAGAUUUGCAGCAGAACAAACGCAGCAGCUGGAUCUGUGGGGAAAAAAUGAUUCGGAGUCAUCGGAGAAGAGGACCAAAUCCUCUGAAAGAUGCAGAAAUCCAUGAACAAAAGGGCAAGGACAAAGACAACAUAACCAGAAAAUACAUUAAUCCCAUCAAAGCUCGUCCAUGAGCCUGUCGUUUCAGGAAGUGAAGUCACAUCUCCUAAAGAGCUUGUCCAUGAGCCUGUCGUUUCAGGAAGUGAAGUCACAUCUCCUAAAGAG